CAGUAGCCACGGUAACACGGAGGGUGCAAGCGUUGUCCGGAUUUAUUGGGUUUAAAGGGUGCGCAGGCGGGGGGGUCAGUCCGCGGUGAAAGACGAUCGCUCAACGAUUGCAGUGCCGUGGAUACUGCCCUUCUUGAAUCUGGUUGAGGCCGGUGGAAUUGACCGUGUAGCGGUGAAAUGCAUAGAUAUGGUCAAGAACUCCAAUUGCGAAGGCAGCCGGCUGGGCCAGCAUUGACGCUCAGGCACGAGAGUGCGGGGAUCAAACAGGAUUAGAUACCCCGGUAGUCCCUGUCUCUUAACA
rnacentral:rRNA from 1 species